rnacentral:rRNA from 1 species
GACGAACGCUGGCGGCGUGCUUAACACAUGCAAGUCGAACGGAAAGGCCCUGCUUUUGUGGGGUGCUCGAGUGGCGAACGGGUGAGUAACACGUGAGUAACCUGCCCUUGACUUUGGGAUAACUUCAGGAAACUGGGGCUAAUACCGGAUAGGAGCUCCUGCUGCAUGGUGGGGGUUGGAAAGUUUCGGCGGUUGGGGAUGGACUCGCGGCUUAUCAGCUUGUUGGUGGGGUAGUGGCUUACCAAGGCUUUGACGGGUAGCCGGCCUGAGAGGGUGACCGGCCACAUUGGGACUGAGAUACGGCCCAGACUCCUACGGGAGGCAGCAGUGGGGAAUAUUGCACAAUGGGCGGAAGCCUGAUGCAGCCACGCAGCGUGCGGGAUGACGGCCUUCGGGUUGUAAACCGCUUUCGCCUGUGACGAAGCGUGAGUGACGGUAAUGGGUAAAGAAGCACCGGCUAACUCCGUG